rnacentral:ncRNA from 1 species
CCCCGUGAAGAAGCAGGGAUGACCUAGUAACAGGAGAAGACCCUAUGGAGCUUUAAUUUAUUAAUUUAUCCUCACUUACCUUAAGUCCACAAGGACAUAAAGCACAAGACCUAAAUUAAUACUUUCAGUUGGGGUGAUCUCAAAGAAUAACAAAUCCUCUGAAUGAUACUAACCUAGACAUUACAAGUCAAAGUUCAUUAUCACCACUUGACCCAAAAACCUUUGAUCCACCAACCCAGUUACCCUAGGGAUAACAGAGCAAUCCUAUUUUAGAGUCCAUUUUGAUAAUAGGGUUUAUACCUCGAUGUUGGAUCAGGACAUCUUAAUGUACAGCCGCUAUUAAGGCUUUGUUUGUUCAAUGAUUAAUAGUCCUACGUGAUCUGAGUUCAGACCAGAGCAAUCCAGGUCAGUUUCUAUCUAUUA